AGUGAACGCUGGCGGUAGGCCUAACACAUGCAAGUCGAACGGCAGCACAGUAAGAUCUUGCUCUUACGGGUGGCGAGUGGCGGACGGGUGAGGAAUACAUCGGAAUCUACUUUUUCGUGGGGGAUAACGUAGGGAAACUUACGCUAAUACCGCAUACGACCUACGGGUGAAAGCAGGGGAUCUUCGGACCUUGCGCGAUUGAAUGAGCCGAUGUCGGAUUAGCUAGUUGGCGGGGUAAAGGCCCACCAAGGCGACGAUCCGUAGCUGGUCUGAGAGGAUGAUCAGCCACACUGGAACUGAGACACGGUCCCGACUCCUACGGGAGGCAGCAGUGGGGAAUAUUGGACAAUGGGCGCAAGCCUGAUCCAGCCAUACCGCGUGGGUGAAGAAGGCCUUCGGGUUGUAAAGCCCUUUUGUUGGGAAAGAAAAGCAGCAGGUUAAUACCCCGCUGUUCUGACGGUACCCAAAGAAUAAGCACCGGCUAACUUCGUG
rnacentral:rRNA from 1 species